GCAUAACGCGAAGAACCUUACCUACACUUGACAUACCUCUUGGGACUUUCAGAGAUGAUUGUUUUCGGUUCGGCCGGGGAGGAGACAGGUGGUGCAUGGUUGUCGUCAGCUCGUGUCGUGAGAUGUUGGGUUAAGUCCCGCAACGAGCGCAACCCUUAGGUCUAGUUGCCAGCACUUCGGGUGGGCACUCUAGAGCGACUGCCGGUGACAAACCGGAGGAAGGCGGGGAUGACGUCAAAUCAUCAUGCCCCUUAUGACCUGGGCUACACACGUGCUACAAUGGCCGGUACAAAGGGCAGCGAAGCCGCGAGGCGGAGCCAAUCCCAAAAAGCCGGUCUCAGUUCGGAUUGCAGGCUGCAACUCGCCUGCAUGAAGUCGGAAUUGCUAGUAAUCGCGGAUCAGCAUGCCGCGGUGAAUACGUUCCCGGGUCUUGUACACACCG
rnacentral:rRNA from 1 species